CACAAUUCAGCCCAUGAACAAUCACUGAGUUGUCUUUUCAAGAUGCUGUAGCAAAGAUACUUUGUUCUAUUCUCUCAAAAAUUAUCCUAAGCAGAGGAGGAAACAAAAUAAAUGUAAACUCUAUCCUCAAAAACCAAGAGACAUCUGUAUUCACACAUGGAAUCUAUGAAGACAAGGAGAAAGAAGAGAAGAACAAGAGGAGAAAGGAAACCUGGGGCUGGAGACCAUUUUUUAUGCAACUGGAAACAUUCAAUGAUAAUGACUGAGGGAGCCAGGAGGACACCCAGAUACUCGAUGCUUAGGACUGGUAUCUACAUACCAUGUAACUUCACUGCCUACAGCCCCUUGAGUCUUCCCCUAGGACCCUGCGGUGAGGGGAAGGUGUAGAUUU